UGGAGAGAGAGAAGGGGCUCAGUGUGGGGCCUCCGGGGCCGGGAGCCUCUAUAUACCUGCCGGGGCAGGUGUGACCUGGGCACGUGGUCCCUUCCUGGUUCCUGGCGGGGCCGCGUUUGCUUCCUCCUUGCCCCUGUGCUCUCUCUGACUCGUGAGCACCUGGUUUCUCAGGUUCCUAAAUGUGGUGUCUUCCCCCCCUUUUGGCUCCUAUAAUUAGGGCCUGAGCUCUGCUUGCCCAUUCCUUCCCUGACAUCCCUAGGAACUGGUCACCUGCCCUUUUGCCCAUCACAACUGACCCUCGAUGGGGUGGCCCGAGUCUGCACCCCAGCAGAGCCCCAGGGGCCUCCUCAGCGUCUGCCUGCAGAGGAAGCGGCCCGCGGCGCCGAGCGAGCGGGCCCAGCUUAUGCUCCGCACCCAAAGGCAAUCCUCUCAGCUUGUCUAGGAGAAUAUUACCUUCCAGUUCGUCUUGACACUAAAUUUUAUUAUUUACCAUAUAAAGAUUAAUUUUAAUUUUUUAAUCAAGGUGCUGGACAUAUAGUUUAAAAAUUUUCAUGAGGCUUUACCCCAGCAAUUUUCCUCCAAUUAAAAUAGAUAAAUAAAUUUUAAAAAGUCUGACAGACUAAGAGAUGUGCAUUACUAAUGAAAGAAUUAUGUGCUUAUGGCUAGAUUAAAUUGAAAUAAAACUAAGAAUCAUAUUAUUAACAAUAACUAUGUUUUAUUUUUAGACAAUAUAAUACUAAUACUACUCUCUCAUACUAUCAUACUUAAAAAAAAAAAAAGGUUUCCUUAAUAUCUGAAAAUGAAUCAGUGCAGUUACCCGUGUUAGACCACGUCUGACUCUUUGUGACUCCAUGGACUGCACCAUGCCAAGCUUCCCUGUCCUGCAGAGUGGCAAAGACAGCAUUCUUCCGUAAGACUGGGAACAAGGAGAGANNNNNUGCUUUUACCCCUUCUACUCAAAGUAAGUUUGUCAAAUUAAAAAAAAAAAUUGCUAGGGUUUUAACUGAACACAGUAAUCAAUUUUUGGAAAAUUGACAUCUUUUCAACAUCGAACCACAUGAUCUGUGAACAUGCGUAGCUUUCCAUUUAUUAAAUCCUCCUUAAUUUCCUUCAAUAAGGCUUUAUAAUUUCACUUUAGAGAGUUUGUACAUCUUUGAUAGGAUUUCUGUUUCUAGGUUUAUGCUUUUAGGGGAUCAAUUAUAAAUAGUUUUUGUGUCUUAAUAAACAUAUAUUUUAAAAUUUCUAAUUGCUGUUGUCAGCAUCCUUGGAAAAGUUAGUAUAUAUUAGUUGUUUCCCCGCCGGUCUUGCUAAAUUUACUUAUUAACUGNNNNNNNNUAUUUGUAGAUUAUUUUGGAUUUUUCUCUUGUGGUAGUUCGUAUUUCACC
rnacentral:lncRNA from 1 species